rnacentral:lncRNA from 1 species
GGAAAUAUUUUGGAGAAAUGGUGGGGCUGUGUGUCCAUCUUUUCUGUCCAAAAUUCAGAGAUUAUUAAAAAUUUAACCUACCAAGUCAGAGGUAUAUUCUUCCAAAUUUUUUCAGGACAAAUACUAAUCUCUAUUCUUUUAUUGCUUAAUUCUUUUUUUGUUUGUUUGUUUUUUUGUUUUACCAGACAUAAAAAGUCAUUUAUUUAUUUUGUUUUUUUGUUUGUUUUUUGUUUUGUUUUGUUUUGUUUUGAGACAGGGUUUCUCUGUGUAUUCUGGCUUUCCUGGAACUCACUCUGUAGACCAGGCUGGCCUCGAACUCAGAAAUACGCCUGCCUCUGCCUCCCAGGUGCUGGGAUUAAAGGCGUGCACCACCACUGCCUGUGGUGGUGGUGUGAAGGCCUGGCUUACCUACCAUGGUUCUUGCUUCUGGAGGAACAGCGUGCUCAGUGCAGUGUGCAGUCUCAGGUGAGGAGAGACCUGAAGAUCAUAGCGCUCACAGUGUCAUGUAGACAGAGGAAAGGAGCAUGGGACAGAACGCUGGAGGGGUGAGUUUCCAUCCCAGCAGGGCAUCCUGAUGUAGCAGUUGCAAUUGCAGGUGUGAGAUGAGCUCCGUGGGAUGCUCCCUGUGAAAGCAUGACAGAGGGGUAUCCUAAGCUAUUACUUGAUUCUUCCACAUGAAAGAUGUAGGCUGAGUGUACUGAGAAU